UGGAUAGUACAACGUUCCAAAGCACAGAGAAACAUCUCCACUCGACACAAAUGAAAACAGUGUGUAUUAACAUCAAAAGACCUGCUGUGUGACUAAUCUGAUUGGCACACUCCCAUCUACUACUCAGAUGCAAUCAAGAAAAGACCAACGUCACAUAUCAAUUUGACAUUUUGUUUUCUCAUAAUCAAAAAUAAAGAUCAUGUGAUCACCAGUAAUUUCUAAUUAUAAAUAAAAGCAUUAAUUUUGUUCCAGAUCUUAGAUCCUAGAAGCAAUACAAACCGGGUCAGCCAUUCAGCCAUCAAGCCUUCUGCGAACAAGACACAGUACUACCGUCGCAAGGUUGUACUGUUACUAAAUGGUGUUUUAAACCGCUGCUUUCAUAAUUGUAUAGUAUCAGCCAAAUUCUGCAGAGAAGUUGUGGGGGGAGUGGCAACUGUCAUGUGAUUCUGAGUACUUUACCUCGAAAAUUACUGCACUUGCGCAGGCGGAUUAUGUGCAGCUUGCAGAAUACUCUUGCAGAAUACUAUUGUUCAGAGCUAAAGAUUCUAUAAAUAGGUAAGAAAGUUUAUUAAUAACAGAAACAGAACAUUGAUAAUAAUUAUAUGGAACAAUUUUUCAUCUCUUUGCUAGCAUACUCUUCUAAAAAAUGUAGCAGUAAGAGCAGCUUGACAUUAAUUUUUAAUUGAAUGUGAACACUUCAGGGUGAGCUCCCUAAUCUCUCGUAAUCCUUCCCACACAGCGACAUGUUUACGCCAUUGUCCAACAAUGGUAUGCAAGAACUGCUGUACGGGAGAGAGGGACACAUGCACGUUGUGUGAAUGUGGUGAGUGAAUUCGAAAAACAAUUUAGUCUCCCAGAUGAUUUGUUUAUAUGGUAGACAGCAAAGGGGAAACCCACUUUGACAAACAUUGUAAAAGGACCUUAAACAGUUUUUCGAAAAAAUGGAACCCAACGUCUGCAUACAUUGGGGGGACUGAGCCAACCAUUGCACCUAGGCCACAGUUAUGUAGCUGGGCAAGCAGAUCAUCAACAAAAACUGAGUAGAGAAGCGGAGACAGAAUAGAAUAGCACCUUGACGAACUCCUUGGGAGAUAGGGAAGAUUCUUGAGCGAGACCCAUUGAGUACCAGUGGACCAGAAUGUGCCAGAUUCUAGGGUUUUCUUGAAGUUUCACGAAAAGGCCAUACCGUGUCAAAGGCCUUUCGUGUCAAAGGCCUUCUUAACGUCCCGGAGAGAUUGAACCGUUUCUUGAAAUAUGAAAGACGUGCUGUAACCAGGUCUGAAACCUCCAGGGCUGAGAGAUACUCCUUGGUGCAGUAUCUUCUCUAAAAGAAGUUUCUCAAAAAGUUUCCCAGAUUCCUCUAUAAUUUGAGGGGUCCUUGUCAGCACCUUUUGGAAUAGCGGUGACUAGACCAAGGGUAAGCAGAUCAGGGAUGUAGCAGGAGCAUAGCAUUAAAGAUUCUGCACAACUGAAGCUGAACUAUCGGGCCAGAGAAGCACAAGUGUUCUGUUUCAAUGCCAUCAGGACCAGGUGCUUUCUCACGUUUGAGAGAAUCUAUAGCGUUGGCAAUGUCAGAUUGGGUGAGUAAGAUAUCUCCACCCUGGGUGGAAUCAAGGAGGUCACGAAACACUUUGCAGGUUGUCGGAGUCAAAUAGUGGGCUAUGACUGGGGGUACCAAGUGUUUCAAAGUAAUUGGCCCCUUCUAAGAGGGUGUCACCAGAGUAUGAGACAUCAUUAUAUACAAUGGUGCCAGAUUUCUCUGAAGAGCGGCCAGGUCUAAGUUGAGUAAACAUUGCUCUUUGAGCGAGUGACGAUGUUGGCGGCAUUUUAGUAGUUAGUUCUAAGGCUAGUACACACAGUAAUAUUCGGAAGGAGCCGUCUGCACUACGUAGAGUAAGUUAUUAGCUUUUACAUGUAAAAAAUUAAGCUAGAAAAGUAUGUUUUAUAGAAUAUCUCACCUUUAGUUGAAGGAACAGCUCCUUCUGAAUAUUACUGUGUGUACUAAGUAAGUGCUUCAAGGAGCAUUUAGGACUCCGGAAUUAGAGCUAAAGAUUUAAGCAGUUUGAGAUCCAUUUUUAUGCACAAUUGCUGGUAAAAAGCGUGGGCGGAGCUUCGUUUUAGCUGAAUCAGCAAUAAUUAAAGGACCCAGUCCUUAAUUCACCUGAGUUUGCCAGGGCCAUUGGUUUACCAGCAGAUUUCCAGUGACGAAAUGCUGAUUUCGACUCAGACAUAUACCAACCUGGAAUAAUGCCCUUUAAUGUCAUUAAGCGAAUCAGGUUAGAGAUCGAAGAGUCAAUGUGAGAGGAGCAGCCAGGAGCAAGAGGGAAUGACCAACUAUUGACUGCAGGCAAUUCACACGAGCAGUUGAGGUUAUGAGACAGUUGAGACAGUUGAGGUUAUGAGAGAGGGAGGUUAUGAGAGAGGGAGCUGCAGCAAGGGUGAUUUUGAUGGUAGCCGAGAUUGGAAGGUUAUUCAAGGGGCACUCAUCCGGAGGUGAAAGCAUCUAAGAAAAGCAUCUAAGAAGCGGGAGUGGCAUAAGCGGGAGUGGCAUAGGAUAUGGUCAAUGGUUGACUCGCUGUUAUGAGCCUCCCUGUGGCUGUGGCUGUGACUGUGGCUGUGGGAGUGAGUAGAGGAGCCAAGGUACAAGUGGACAGAGGUAUUGACGAAGGAAGAUGCCAGGGUCCGCAUUGAUGUCACCAAGAAUUAUUACCUCAUUGUCGUAGCCGCUCAUUGUCGUAGCCGAGUAAAUUAAUCAGAGAGUCAAUGUAGUCAAGGCAUUCGGCACUUAGGAAGUGUUCUUAAUUGGUGUUCUUAAUUGCAGCCCCGGGGAUGUGUCUAGAUGUGUCUAGUUAUGACUCACGUGAUGUAGCUUAUUUUAAUUUUGUGAUUGCUCCUGCUGCACUGCAUGUACUGUUCCGUGCUGUGUGAAUGUACUAUAGAGUUGCCUGGCUGGCAUAUGAAACAAAGAACAAUGGAAAGGUAAGAAAGGCCCAGAUAUCCAACAAAGAGCAAAGGUGAAUUUUUAUUUAUUUCGUGCACGUACGUACGUAAGUACAUAUAAUGUAGGACCUGUCGUGCAUUUGAUUAGCUGAUGUUGCGAUAUGUAUAUUAUUACGUGUAACAUACCUGUUGUAUAUAUAUUUUUGUUACUACGGCAUCUGGAACAGUGGAUCCGAGACGGUAAGCUGACUAAAACAGUGUGCAUGCAGUACUGCUACUAAAGGGUAUAAUUUGACUACAAGGUACGCAUGUUUUCUUUGACUUUGCAUGUACUUGCAUGUACAUGUAGAACCUGAUGUGAAGAAACUGAAGUGUGGGAGUGACCAUUCCAACCCGACCCAUGAUCUUGCUACCAAGCUCAAUUAUUAAAAACUGUCGAAUUAGCAAUUUUUAUCCUAUUGUUUUCUCUAUCUGUUAUUUGAUAGGCCUUUUUUUUUUCAUGAUUGUGAGAAGCAUGAUGGGUUAUUAUUUAACCCUUUAACCGUCACGGGCCACGAUCGUGGCCCGCAAUAGUGACUUUUUUUGCGAAAUUCUAAUUCUGCGAUACUUAGGAAGUAGCUCGAACUACGCACAUCCCUGUAUACAGGAAGAGCUGUAGAAUCACGUGCAAUUUAGUCUAGAAUUUUCCAAGCCACGUUGCUAUAUUAAAAUUUGAUUAGCAUCUUACCGCACGAAGUUUAUAGCUAUGGCUAGGUUGUUUACUUGUGCCGAUGUGCUUGAACAGCUUGAGGACAGCAAUGGCGAUGUCUCCUCUGGUGAUGACAGUGCCUAUGAAGGAGAGAGGAUAGUAGGAUACCUCCCAAAGGCUACCAGCUUUAUGCCAGACGCUGAUGAACUGUCUGGGACUGAGGACAUGCAUGACAUGGACCUAGACGCUAGAGCUAUGGACCAGGACGGUGAAAGACCAGGAGAGGGCUCACUGUGUGACUCUGGCAAGUAGUAUAGUAUAGCUAGAAUAUCAGUAGUAAGUAUAGUAUAGCUAAAAUAGAAUUAGCAGUAAUGAACAGUCUUUAUGUGAGCUUGUAAAUUUCAUAGAUCGUUCACCGAUAUAGUAUUACAUGUACGUAUUGUACUUCAAAUUGAUAUAUCUUAGCACUGUUACAUUCA